GCGGCAUGCCUUACACAUGCAAGUCGAACGGCAGCACGGGAGCAAUCCUGGUGGCGAGUGGCGAACGGGUGAGUAAUAUAUCGGAACGUGCCCAGUCGUGGGGGAUAACGCAGCGAAAGCUGUGCUAAUACCGCAUACGAUCUCUGGAUGAAAGCGGGGGACUCGCAAGGGCCUCGCGCGAUUGGAGCGGCCGAUAUCAGAUUAGCUAGUUGGUGGGGUAAAAGCCCACCAAGGCGACGAUCUGUAGCUGGUCUGAGAGGACGACCAGCCACACUGGAACUGAGACACGGUCCAGACUCCUACGGGAGGCAGCAGUGGGGAAUUUUGGACAAUGGGCGCAAGCCUGAUCCAGCAAUGCCGCGUGCAGGAUGAAGGCCUUCGGGUUGUAAACUGCUUUUGUACGGAACGAAACGGUCCUUUCUAAUAAAAGGGGCUAAUGACGGUACCGUAAGAAUAAGCACCGGCUAACUACGUGCCAGCAGCCGCGGUAAUACGUAGGGUGCGAGCGUUAAUCGGAAUUACUGGGCGUAAAGCGUGCGCAGGCGGUUAUAUAAGACAGAUGUGAAAUCCCCGGGCUCAACCUGGGCACUGCAUUUGUGACUGUAUAGCUAGAGUACGGUAGAGGGGGAUGGAAUUCCGCGUGUAGCAGUGAAAUGCGUAGAUAUGCGGAGGAACACCGAUGGCGAAGGCAAUCCCCUGGACCUGUACUGACGCUCAUGCACGAAAGCGUGGGGAGCAAACAGGAUUAGAUACCCUGGUAGUCCACGCCCUAAACGAUGUCAACUGGUUGUUGGGUCUUCACUGACUCAGUAACGAAGCUAACGCGUGAAGUUGACCGCCUGGGGAGUACGGCCGCAAGGUUGAAACUC
rnacentral:rRNA from 1 species